GAUGAACGCUGGCGGCGUGCCUAAUACAUGCAAGUCGAGCGAACGGACGAGAAGCUUGCUUCUCUGAUGUUAGCGGCGGACGGGUGAGUAACACGUGGAUAACCUACCUAUAAGACUGGGAUAACUUCGGGAAACCGGAGCUAAUACCGGAUAAUAUUUUGAACCGCAUGGUUCAAAAGUGAAAGACGGUCUUGCUGUCACUUAUAGAUGGAUCCGCGCUGCAUUAGCUAGUUGGUUAGGUAACGGCUUACCAAGGCAACGAUGCAUAGCCGACCUGAGAGGGUGAUCGGCCACACUGGAACUGAGACUCGGUCCAGACUCCUACGGGAGGCAGCAGUAGAGAAUCUUCCGCAAUGGGCGAGAGCCUGACGGAGCAACGCCGCGUGAGUGAUGAAGGUCUUCGGAUCGGAAAACUCUGUUAGUAGGGAAGAACAUAUGUGUAAGUAACUGUGCACAUCUUGACGGUACCUAAUCAGAAAGCCACGGCUAACUACGUG
rnacentral:rRNA from 1 species